UUAUCAGACUUGUUACAAGAUUAUUCUUACAAGUCUGAUACAGUCAUGACAUAACAAGAAUGUUACAAGGUUGACGACACAAGGUUGUAACAAUAUCGUUAUAUCAUGACUGUAUCGGACUAGUUGGAACAACCUUGCAACAAGUCUGGUAA